rnacentral:rRNA from 1 species
AUUGAACGCUGGCGGCAGGAUUAACACAUGCAAGUCGAGCGGAGAUGAGGUGCUUGCACCUUAUAUUAGCGGCGGACGGGUGAGUAAUGAUUAGGAAUCUGCUUAUUAGUGGGGGACAACAUUCCGAAAGGAAUGCUAAUACCGCAUACGUCCUACGGGAGAAAGCAGGGGCUCUUCGGACCUUGCGCUAAUAGAUGAGCCUUAGUCGGAUUAGCUAGUUGGUGGGGUAAAGGCCUACCAAGGCGACGAUCUGUAGCGGGUCUGAGAGGAUGAACCGCCACACAGGGACUGAGACACGGCCCAGACACCUACGGGAGGAAGCGGUGGGGAAUUUUGGACAAUGGGGGGAACCCUGAUCCAGCCGUGCCGCGUGUGUGAAGAAGGCCUUAUGGUUGUAAAGCACUGUAAGCGAGGAGGAGGCUACUGAGACUAAUACUCUUGGAUAGUGGACGUUACUCGCAGAAUAAGCACCGGCUAACUCUGUGCCAGCCGCCGCGGUAACAC